rnacentral:rRNA from 1 species
AUUCCAGCUCCAAUAGCGUAUAUUAAAGCUGUUGCAGUUAAAACGCUCGUAGUCGAAUUUCGGACGCGAAACAAAGGUAGAUCAAAUGAUCUUACUUUUGAUUCAAGUCCUUAUUUCUGGGAGAGCAUGCUCGCAUGUUAAUCCAGGACAUUUACUUUGAGGAAAUUAGAGUGUUCAAAGCAGGCAUUUGCUUGAAUAUGACAGCAUAGAAUAAUAGAAUAGGACUUUGGUUUUAUUUUGUUGGUUUUGGAGACCAAGGUAAUGAUGAAUAGGGGCAGUCGUGGGCAUUAGUAUUUUGAAGUCAGAGGUGAAAUUCUUGGAUUUUCAAAAGACUAACUAAAGCGAAAGCAUUUGCCAAGGAUGUUUUCAUUG